AGCUAUCACACAUAUAACUGCUUCAGCAGCACGUAUCUGUUUCAGACAAAGGAGAAAAGAUAUGGUUAGAACCUCUAAGACUUACAGGCAUCAAGGCAUGGGACUGAAUAAGAGUAUGACACUCGCCAACAAGUAAUCUGAAGAAAAAUAUAAUUAAAAUACUGUCAGAAUGGCUGCCGUCUAGCUUUACUAAGGGCCUUUGAAUCCUAUUCACAUUAAAGAUUGAAAAUUUAAGAGGUCAUGCCCUUGGACCAAAGUAAACUUGUAUACAUAAUUUGACGAAUAAGAUGGACCAAAAUCAAAUGACAACUUAAUUUAUGUUGAAUGACUAAGAACAAGAGAUAGUUUUAUUUAUAUAUAGUUUUAAUAUAUAUGAAAAGCAUGAAGCAACAAUAUUCCUUGGGGAAUUACUAUAGACAUCCAGCUCAGUAAGUUAUAUACAAGUCAAUGUUAAAUGCACUAGAAAUAUACUUAUUUCUAUUUUCCCUUCAACGAAUAAUUUACUUGUUUGAGACAAAUAUGCAAAGGGAGAAUUAUUCUGAAAUGGGUGGACCAUAAGCAUCAUAACAACCCAUGGAAAACUAAUAAAUGUGGGGAAAAUGAUUAUCCUACACAUUCCAUGGAAGAAAUCAUAUCUUAAAAUAUCACAAGAAUUGCGAAGUAUCAUAUGUUAGCAACAAUAUAAUUGGUUCCACAUGAAUCUAGGAUUCAUUCAUUUUCAAGUGCAUUGCCCUUCCCCUGAGUUUGUUGAUAACAGGCAUCAGUUUUUCCUUUUGCAAUUUGAAACCAAGUGGAACAUAAAUAGGUCAAACAAUCAACAGAAAACCUGAUUCUAUACCCGAAACUCCUUUGUGUUCCCAAUCCCACCUAAAUAUACCUGCAUCAAACCCUAAUCUUGUGUCCACAACAUAAUGCUGCUGAAUAACAAAAGACCCUGCAUACAAAGAUCUUGGUUUGCGCCAAUCCAAGUCAUCUUUUAGUAAACUUGUCACAUAUUAACCACGAGUUUAUACAGCACUAAAUUUCAAAUAUGAUUGUAAUAAAUAUUAUAGUUACACAAGAAAAUUAACAAAUAUUUAGGUUAAAAAGAUCAAGAACUUUACAAGGGAACAUGGAGAAAUAAAAAGGAAAGGUGAAUUACAAAAUCUUAAGAGAAUCAAGUUAUAAGUUAUGCUUACAUAGAAUAUAGUUUGCAUUUGACAAGCAUUAGCAUUAACCUUGUUAUAAUGCUGAAAAAACAAAAAAACUCUGUACAUAGGAAAAUGCCUAAAUAAGGAAAGGUAGUGUUGACAAUCACUAGCAAUUUUGACGGAAACAGAAAAGACGCACAUGCACCACAAAAAUAAAAUGUCAUGUAGGACAGCAAUUUAGUUAUGAUUUCUUUUUUUUU
rnacentral:misc_RNA from 1 species